UACGAAGGUCCCAAGCGUUGUUCGGAAUCACUGGGCGUAAAGGGCGCGUAGGCGGCGUGGUAAGUCAGAUGUGAAAUCCCGGGGCUCAACCCCGGAACUGCAUCCGAUACUGCCAUGCUAGAGGAUUGGAGAGGUAGCUGGAAUUCUUGGUGUAGCAGUGAAAUGCGUAGAGAUCAAGAGGAACACUCGUGGCGAAAGCGAGCUACUGGACAAUUCCUGACGCUGAGGCUCGAAGGCUAGGGUAGCGAAAGGG
rnacentral:rRNA from 1 species